UCGAGCGAACAGAGAAGGAGCUUGCUCCUUUGACGUUAGCGGCGGACGGGUGAGUAACACGUGGGCAACCUACCCUAUAGUUUGGGAUAACUCCGGGAAACCGGGGCUAAUACCGAAUAAUCUAUUGUCCCUCAUGGGACAAUACUGAAAGACGGUUUCGGCUGUCGCUAUAGGAUGGGCCCGCGGCGCAUUAGCUAGUUGGUGAGGUAACGGCUCACCAAGGCAACGAUGCGUAGCCGACCUGAGAGGGUGAUCGGCCACACUGGGACUGAGACACGGCCCAGACUCCUACGGGAGGCAGCAGUAGGGAAUCUUCCACAAUGGGCGAAAGCCUGAUGGAGCAACGCCGCGUGAGUGAAGAAGGAUUUCGGUUCGUAAAACUCUGUUGUAAGGGAAGAACAAGUACAGUAGUAACUGGCUGUACCUUGACGGUACCUUAUUAGAAAGCCACGGCUAACUACGUGCCAGCAGCCGCGGUAAUACGUAGGUGGCAAGCGUUGUCCGGAAUUAUUGGGCGUAAAGCGCGCGCAGGUGGUUUCUUAAGUCUGAUGUGAAAGCCCACGGCUCAACCGUGGAGGGUCAUUGGAAACUGGGAGACUUGAGUGCAGAAGAGGAUAGUGGAAUUCCAAGUGUAGCGGUGAAAUGCGUAGAGAUUUGGAGGAACACCAGUGGCGAAGGCGACUAUCUGGUCUGUAACUGACACUGAGGCGCGAAAGCGUGGGGAGCAAACAGGAUUAGAU
rnacentral:rRNA from 1 species